rnacentral:lncRNA from 1 species
GCAACAACAGAAGCACAGCAGCAACAUGCCGCCACAACUUUGCUGCAACAGCAACUUCCUCUAUCUUCCCAAAUACCCAAUUUACAAAUCCUGAGUCUCUUCCAACUUUGCAAGAAUCAUUUACUGAAUUCAGCAAAGUUUAUCCAAGAUACUCAGAUAGCUAUCAAGUAGACCAAAUUCGAGCCCAAGAAUACUAUCAGCUCUCACUUUCCCACCAUACCUGCCUUGAUUAUAUUGGCAUCGGCCUCUUCUCCUAUGCCCAGCUGCAAAAUCAUGACUGCAGAAAAAAAAUAGUCUCUUCUUCUUGUCCCCCACCUCAUUCACCUCCUAAGAAUUCGCAUUUUCCUUUCUUCAGUGUGUCCUACAAGACAGGGAAUUUGAAGACACAGCUACUUCAUGGUGGCCAAGAAUCGGAAUUAGAGUCUACAAUAAAGAAAAGGAUUAUGAGUUUUCUCAAUUUAUCUGAAAAUGAGUAUAGUAUGGUUUUCACUUCAAACAGAACAUCAGCUUUUAAACUUGUAGCAGAGUCUUACCCUUUCCACUCUAGUCGGAAGCUUCUGACAGUUUAUGACUAUGAGAGUGAAGCAGUGGAAACCAUGAUUAACUGUUCUGAGAACAAAGGAGCUCAAGUCAUGCCAGCAGAGUUCUCAUGGCCU